UUCAUGAAGACCAAUAAAAAACAACAGUGUUACCCCUUAUGGUUUUUUUCAUGACGACCAAUAAAAAACGACAGUGUUACCCCUUAUGUUUUUUUUCAUGACGACCAAUAAAAAACAACAGUUGUUACCCCUUAUGUUUUCUUUCAUGACGACCAAUAAAAAACGACAGUGUUACCCCUUUUGUUUUUUUUCAUGACGACCAAUAAAAAACGACAGUGUUACCCCUUAUGUUUUCUUUCAUGACGACCAAUAAAAAACAACAGUGUUACCCCUUAUGUUUUUUUUCAUGAAGACCAAUAAAAAACAACCGUGUUACCCUUUAUGUUUUUUUUCAUGACGACCAAUAAAAAACAGUGUUACCCCUUAUGUUUUCUUUCAUGACGACCAAUAAAAAACAACAGUGUUACCCCUUAUGUUUUUUUUCAUGACGACCAAUAAAAAACAACAGUGUUACCCCUUAUGUUUUCUUU